AACUCAUGGUCGCAGUGUAGAAACGCCAAUUUCCGAAUAAUUAAAGUUUAUGCGGGGUUGGGGAGGGUGUGUCUCUUGGAAUGCCAUCAGAUACAUACACAAUGCGGGAUAUAAAGCCUUUUAACGUCGGAGGAUCUAUUGAGAUCUCCCACCAUCAAACCUCUCACCAACUCUGGCGUAAACCUAGUACGUGGUUCUAAUUACUUUCCAACAGUUUGCAUCCUGAUGACGUAGAAAAAUGGCGUGUAGGUAGCUUUGUAGGUGCGAUUGUUAGCCUUGGUUGUGGUUCCAUGAAGCAGGAAUGGCCUACAUUCACCACCUGAGCUUCGAAGCCUGUGUGACGUGAAUGUGCAUUAACUUUCCCAUCAGUUGUAUUCUUGCGUUGAUUGUGGGGUUAGAUCCGCCCCUGCCAGAUUGUGAUUGUCUGCAGGUGUUAGAAAGUGCAGGAAAUUAUGAUUCUAUACCUGGACACAGAUCAAAAGGCAGCCCACAUGCGUUGUGUUAUUAGACCCACAGUGGCAGAGGAUCUCCGGAUGGGUGUAAGGCUGAGGGUGUAGAGGAGAGUUGAUGGCCAAUUUCACGCUGUCGUCCAACCAUUGCAGUCAAGAAGUGUUGUGAAUUCGGUAUGAGACUUGUAAUGCCGAGGAAGCAAUUAAGAGAAGGCGAUCCCUGUAGACUUUGAUACCAGUUAUAUCCACCCAUCAAGAAAGAUGCCCAGGCUUCGAGAGGCACAGAUACCAAUCGGGCACAAAGUUUAUAAGAACAUCUUGAAGCUUCUGAACGUUGCUGUCAUCAUCUUUGGCAUUAUGACUGUGGUGAUGUCUUUUGAAAUCAAUCCCGUGCCAACUUUCUCCCCUGGAUGGUUGCUGAUACUUUUGGGGUCAACGACAAUGCUGGGUGGUUUUACGGGAUUUGGGGGCACAACUCUGCCCUGUUGCUACAAGAGUCACAUCAUCUGCAUGAGCAUAGCCAUCUUCGGCACUGCAGUUUUCUGCCUCUGCAUGUUUGGCCAGAGGGCUAAAGUUGUGGCAAGCUUCAAGAGCAAAAGAUUUUCAGAAGAAACUGUGGACCGCUACUUGUCUUCGAUUUGUUGGCUGUAUAUUUUUGUCGUCAUUGUUGAGUGUGUUGCAUUGGCAGCAAGGGUCAUUUUCCAGCGCAAGUUCAUCCAUGAACAAUUUGAGUCACUAGCACAGACACAAGACCUCCGAGCUGCCACCUUGAGAACGAUGCGAGAGGAUCUCGGUAGCCGCAGUAAUAAAGUUGAUAGGACCAGAGCUGGUAACCUCGACGCUAAAAUGCAAGACAAGUAUGCCAAGUGGAACUACCAAGACGGGACAUAAUUCCAAGCUAGACCUCAAACUGCUUCAAAUUCCUCAGCUUGCAGCCAUCAUCAAGUUCUGAGCUUGUGCAGGUUUUGUUUAUCACAUGUGGAUGAUAUCAAGCAUCUUCUGAAAAAGACCAUAGUGUUCCUAUGCUUCGUAAUGUUAAAGCUUUUUUUCAUGUAUUUGUGCAAGAAGAGUGUUUAGAAUUAUGUGGUCGUACUUGGUGUCCCAUAUCUUGGUCAACCCUUUGUGUAUUUCUUGAUAGCUUUUGUGUAUUUUAUUGAAAACUUUUAAGAGAUUUUGGACUUCAAGGUCUUGGGUUAUUCUUAAUUCUAGAGAAUAAAGAAUUGGUAUAUGUUGCACUUUAUAUAAGUUAAAAACAUACAAUUUGGCACAAAGAUUGCCACUGUAGCAUUCAAAAAGCA